rnacentral:rRNA from 1 species
GACGAACGCUGGCGGCGUGCCUAAUACAUGCAAGUGGGACGCAAGGAAACACACUGUGCUUGCACACCGUGUUUUCUUGAGUCGCGAACGGGUGAGUAACGCGUAGGUAACCUGCCUAUUAGCGGGGGAUAACUAUUGGAAACGAUAGCUAAUACCGCAUAAUAUUAAUUAUUGCAUGAUAAUUGAUUGAAAGAUGCAAGCGCAUCACUAGUAGAUGGACCUGCGUUGUAUUAGCUAGUUGGUAAGGUAAGAGCUUACCAAGGCGACGAUACAUAGCCGACCUGAGAGGGUGAUCGGCCACACUGGGACUGAGACACGGCCCAGACUCCUACGGGAGGCAGCAGUAGGGAAUCUUCGGCAAUGGACGAAAGUCUGACCGAGCAACGCCGCGUGAGUGGAGAAGGUUUUCGGAUCGUAAAGCUCUGUUGUAAGUCAAGAACGUGUGUGAGAGUGGAAAGUUCACACAGUGACGGUAGCUUACCAGAAAGGGACGGCUAACUACGUG